AUCACGGGUUUGGGCGGUUGUGCGGUCUAAUCCUUUUUAUUUCUGUGAUCCAAUCCGGAUCAACGUCCAGAUUCGAGAGAAUCGCUCUCAGACUUGAAUCAAACUUUGAUUCAGAGGUGCGACGCGAGAGAGUCACUCACUUCUUCUCGUCGAUUUUACGUCACGCGGGAGCGCGCCAAAUUUUAAACGGUCUUGAACAAAGUUUUUCCAAGUCUUUAGACUGUGGAAGUGUUACUUAAUUCUAAGAGGAAACAGGUUUAAUUUCGCUUUAUUUUAUCAGUAAGAUAAGAAAACUGAUUACGCAGGUGGUAAGAUCACAGUAAAACUUGAAAGGAAAACUCGUCAGAAACAAAAGGUGAGGAAUUUUAAUAUUAUUUAUACAACGGUAUCGUCUUAGUGAAACGAGGACUAACUUAACUUAGCUUUAUUCAAAUAGAAUCAAAGUAUGCUGAAACACAAAGCAUAGGUUUUACAAAUAUUAACGACAUAACGAUGAGUAAUAUAGCCUAACAGUCUUAAAAGCCGAACUAAGAAUACUAUGAACUGAAAGGGAGUCGCUUAUAAAGGAUCGCUGAUUACUAAGAAAUGUUAAAGGAAACGAGGAUUAGUAUUGAAAAGAAUUCGCGGUAUUUCGACAUAGAAAUAGUAAAACAAAAAUACAGAUUACAAACAAACGAUAAUAUAAUAGCACUCUUAUGUGAAACAACGCCAUUACAAAUUCAAAUAUCGACUAUAAGAUUUGAAAGUGGACCAUAUGUUACAACUCCACUGAAGAAAGAUGGCAAGCGUACGUUGCGUAACUUAAAAGUUAAAUUUAGGCGACACGACAACUGAUUUCCCGAACCACCAUCGUUUUACUGAAUGAAUUGUCGCCAACCCGGAAUGUGAAAAUUGGAACGUCGUAAAUUAUAAUUUAAAUUGAGUGAAUGUGAUGUCACGUGGAAACGUUUAUGAGAGAGAAGCCUGUUCAACGUUUAUUAAAGGAGAUAAUUUCGUAUCUGCGAACUUUCCUACUUCAUGCCUCAGCAAUAUUCCUGGGAAUACGCCGUUUUGACAGUUAUUUAUAAACACCAUUUCUUAUCUUCUGUUGUGUUUUUAUGUUCCUUACUGAUUUGAACUGUUUGUCUUUCAUUGCGUAUGAGUU